UUUCUUUCCCUUCUCCAUAGUCCAAAAAAGAAUGGUCUAUCACUCCAUAAUUAAUGACUUAAUAUUAUUUUACAAAUGAAAAAGGAUAAACAUUUAAUCUAAUUAAUUUUUUUUAGUAAAAUUAAAAUUCUCAAACAAUUUUUUUUUAAAUUAUUUACAAAUAAUUAAUAAAAUAACAUAAAAUAUAUUUAAUUUUUUUAGACCUUGUACCACACCAACUUCG
rnacentral:lncRNA from 1 species